GUGAUUGGUUAAUUAAUUACUUGCCAACUAAAACUUGAUAAUGGUGGGUUGUGAGCACAUGGUUUUGAGAGUCGUGCUCAUGACAAUUAAGGACCGGUUCACGAGUUUCGGUUGUGAAACAUUAACCGUGCCAACCACAAGCCAGCAUGGGCAACGGCUUUAUCUUUUGUAUAGCAUGGUUCAUUGCGGGGCACCAGACUGAGAAGUGGCGGAGAUAAGCCCACGGGGGUCGCUGGGGAGUCCAUGCCUUGUUUAUAAGGGGGUGAUUAUGAUCCAGGAAAGGUGCGCUGUAAUGGAUUGUGUUGUGCAAGGGGUAUUGUCACA
rnacentral:misc_RNA from 1 species